UGGGGAAUAUUGCACAAUGGGCGCAAGCCUGAUGCAGCCAUGCCGCGUGUAUGAAGAAGGCCUUCGGGUUGUAAAGUACUUUCAGCGAGGAGGAAGGCGUUGUGGUUAAUAACCGCAGCGAUUGACGUUACUCGCAGAAGAAGCACCGGCUAACUCCGUGCCAGCAGCCGCGGUAAUACGGAGGGUGCAAGCGUUAAUCGGACUUACUGGGCGUAAAGCGCACGCAGGCGGUCUGUCAAGUCGGAUGUGAAAUCCACGGGCUCAACCUGGGAACUGCAGCCGAAACUGGCAGGCUAGAGUCUUGUAGAGGGGGGUAGAAUUCCAGGUGUAGCGGUGAAAUGCGUAGAGAUCUGGAGGAAUACCGGUGGCGAAGGCGGCCCCCUGGACAAAGACUGACGCUCAGGUGCGAAAGCGUGGGGAGCAAACA
rnacentral:rRNA from 1 species